CCAGCAGCCGCGGUAAUACGGAGGAUGCAAGCGUUAUCCGGAGUGAUUGGGCGUAAAGCGUCCGCAGGUGGCAAGUCAAGUUUGCGGUUAAAGGUUCUGGCUCAACCAGAGACAGGCCGUGAAAACUGACUAGCUAGAGUAUGGUAGGGGUAGAGGGAAUUCCCAGUGUAGCGGUGAAAUGCGUAGAGAUUGGGAAGAACACCGGUGGCGAAAGCGCUCUGCUAGGCCAAAACUGACACUGAGGGACGAAAGCUAGGGGAGCGAAUGGGAUUAGAUACCCCAGUAGUCCUAGCCGUAAACGAUGGAUACUAGGUGUAGCUUGUAUCGACCCAAGCUGUGCCGUAGCUAACGCGUUAAGUAUCCCGCCUGGGGAGUACGCGCGCAAGCGUGAAACUCAAAGGAAUUGGCGGGGGCCCGCACAAGCGGUGGAGUAUGUGGUUUAAUUCGAUGCAACGCGAAGAACCUUACCAGGACUUGACAUGUCGCGAAUCUUACUGAAAGGUAGGAGUGCCUUAGGGAGCGCGAACACAGGUGGUGCAUGGCUGUCGUCAGCUCGUGUCGUGAGAUGCUGGGUUAAGUCCCGCAACGAGCGCAACCCUCGUUUUUAGUUGCCAUCAUUAAGUUGGGCACUCUAGAGAGACUGCCGGUGACAAACCGGAGGAAGGUGGGGAUGACGUCAAGUCAGCAUGCCCCUUACGUUCUGGGCUACACACGUACUACAAUGCUACGGACAAAGGGUAGCAAGACAGCGAUGUCAAGCCAAUCCCAUAAACCGUGGCUCAGUUCAGAUUGCAGGCUGCAACUCGCCUGCAUGAAGGCGGAAUCGCUAGUAAUCGCAGGUCAGCACUACUGCGGUGAAUACGUUCCCGGGCCUUGUACACACCGCCCGUCACACCAUGGAAGCUGGCUUAGCCCGAAGUCGUUACCCUAACCGUAAGGAGGGGGAUGCCGAAGGCAGGGCUGGUGACUGGGGUGAAGUCGUAACAAGGUAACCAA
rnacentral:rRNA from 1 species